rnacentral:rRNA from 1 species
AGGUUGAAACUCAAAGGAAUUGACGGGGGCCCGCACAAGCGGUGGAGCAUGUGGUUUAAUUCGAUGAUACGCGAGGAACCUUACCAGGGCUUAAAUGUAGAAUGACAGUUGUGGAAACACAUCCUUCUUCGGACAUUCUACAAGGUGCUGCAUGGUUGUCGUCAGCUCGUGCCGUGAGGUGUCGGGUUAAGUCCCAUAACGAGCGCAACCCCUAUCUCUAGUUGCCAGCGGGUAAUGCCGGGGACUCUAGAGAAACUGCCUACGCAAGUAGUGAGGAAGGCGGGGAUGACGUCAAGUCAGCACGGCCCUUACGUCCAGGGCCACACACGUGUUACAAUGGCCGGUACAGAGGGCAGCUACCUGGUGACAGGAUGCAAAUCUCUAAAGCCGGUCUCAGUUCGGAUCGAAGUCUGCAACUCGACUUCGUGAAGUUGGAUUCGCUAGUAAUCGCGCAUCAGCCUCGGCGCGGUGAAUACGUUCCCGGGCCUUGUACACACCGCCCGUCAAGCCAUGGAAGCCGAGGGUACCUGAAGUCGGUCGCCGCAAGGAGCCGCCUAGGGUAAAAUUGGUAACUGGGGCUAAGUCGUAACAAGGUAGCCGUACCGGAAGGUGCGGCUGGAAUACCUCCUUU